AUGCAGUUGCUCAUCAUAGCGUUCCAACCAAGUGCGCAGCUCAGAGACCUGGUAGCCGUCGGGGCCACGGCCACCUUGGUACAUAAUAGUGCCACUCUGGAUGACAUAGAGACGCUCGAAGUAGGCGCCAUAGGCCGAGCUGCUGGAGUUGGCCAUGGUGUCGAGGACCAGAGCGCAGCCGGGUGCACCUUGCUGCAGUACCCUAGCUGCGCUGACCCGGUCUUCCAGGCUCCGGUGCUGCGGGAUGAUGUAGGGGGAGUCAGUGGUGACCCAGCCGUCGGAGGGGUGCGCUUCCUCGAUGUAGAUGAUGAGGAAGUCGACGUCGCGCUGGUACUUGGUGACCAGGCGCUGGAAGGCGCUCAUGCGCGCCAUGAACGGUGGUCAGGUGCAGCUGCCGAAAUUGAGAACCAGCGGGCGGUUCCCUUGCGCGUAGUCGAGGAUGCGCUGGCUCUGGAAGCCGUCGGGCAGAACCACCUCGGAGUUGGGUGCCGGACCACCCUCGUGCGCCUGCUUGAAGAAAUCCAACUUCUGACCAUGCCACACCGCCUUGAGCGACGCCAGGGUGCACAGGCGGUUGUCGUCGGACACGCAGAUGGGCGGGUCAUCGGGGGGCACCUCCUCGCCUUCACUGUUGAGCUCCACUUCGGGCUCGGGCUGCCCCCGGCGGCGGCGGCCCAGGAAAUGCUUGCGGAUACACAAGAAAUCGAGGAGCCAAAGCAUGAAGGCCGUGCCGAGGAAGCGCGGGAAGAGCACGAGGCACGAGGCGGUCUGGGCGCAGAGCCUCAAGGAGUGAAGCAGCAGGGAGCGGAGCAUGGUGGCUGCAGGCCCCGAAGCCCCCUGGGACCCCUCGCCCUCUCCGACCACCAACCGCGACGCGGCCUGGCUAGGCAUCUGGGCUUCGGCAGUGCAGGGAGUUCAAUUUAUAGCCGAGGCUUCAAUUGGCGGGAGACUCCACCUCCGGCCCGGCCCGCCCCCUUGCAACUUGAGCCCGGAGGGAUCACCCAGCGGCGCGGCCAAUGCCCUAGAAAUCGUGGGCUGAGGGCGGGCGCAGGCGGGCGGAGGGCGGAGCGGCCGGGCCUGGGGCCGGUGGGGGCGGGCCCGGGCCCCGCAGCCAGCUCUCGGGGCGGGGGACUCCGGUCGCCGCUGCCGCUGGGGACCGGGAGCCCGACCGGGGACCUGGGCGUCCGCUGGGGAGGUCCUCCAGCUGGCGCGAGCGCUGCACGCCGCCCUGGUCCCCGCCGCCUGGCUCCGGCCCGCACCCCCCUCGCCGCGCACCUGAGCCGAGCUCCCCGGCGGCCGCCGAGCCGCGCCGGAGCUCCGGUUCGCUUCCCGCGCGCCGCCGCCAACGCCGCCCACGCCGCUGCCGCUCGUGCGGGGCCGCUGCCCAGGUGCCGCGGGAGGCCGGGUCCGCGGCCGCCGCUUCGGUGGCCCCGGCUCCCGCCCCACCGAGGACGCUGGCCCGCGAGGAGGCAACUUUGCGUUCCGCCGCCUUCCCGGCUCGCCCGCGGGCGCCGCUCGCCUGCCGGAGCCCGCCCGCCCGCCUCCCGCGCGCGCUCACACUUCGCGCCUCGCACACGGCCGCCCCCCGCACCGCCCCGCCACGCACACCGCGCUCCGCGCCCCCUCGCCGCUGCCCGAGGCUGCCGCGCGCUGCCCCAGCCCGCGCCGCCCUGGCCGCGCCCGCCCCGUCCCAUCUCGUUCCAGCGGGGCGCCGCGGUUCCUGGGUCAGCGGCCGCCGGGGCCCGGCUGAGAGGUGCGGAGGGCAGAGCCCGCUGGCGGGUUACCGCCGGGCGCCGGAGACCGGAGGGCUGGGGAAAGCGGCGCCGGCCCUGCGCCCCCAGCCGACCCGGGCGCGGGGCGCCACGGGCGUGGGGCGCGGGGCAGCGGGCGCGGGGCGGCGCCGGCCCCGGGCGGCUCUCCCACUAG
ensembl:lncRNA